GUCUACAGCCAUACCACCCUGAACACGCCUGAUCUCAUCUAAUCUCAGAAGCUAAGCAGGGUCGGGCCUGGUUAGUACUUGGAUGGGAGAAACCAGGGGACAUUUUUCU
rnacentral:rRNA from 1 species